rnacentral:rRNA from 1 species
CAGCAGCCGCGGUAAGACGAACCGUGCGAACGUUAUUCGGAAUCACUGGGCUUAAAGCGCGUGUAGGCGGGAGGGCACGUCCGUCGCUGAAAUCCCCCGGCUCAACCGGGGAACGGGCGCGGAUACGACUCUUCUGGAGGAACGUAGGGGGACCUGGAACUUCCGGUGGAGCGGUGAAAUGCGUUGAGAUCGGAAGGAACGCCCGUGGCGAAAGCGAGGUCCUGGACGUUUACUGACGCUGAGACGCGAAAGCCAGGGGAGCGAACGGGAUUAGAUACCCGAGUAGUCCCUGUCUCUUAUA